AUUACCUACGGGAGGCAGCAGUUGGGUCUCUUGGACAAUUUUUUGAACCCUGAUCCAGCGACGCCGCGUGAGUGAAGAAGUAUUUCGGUAUGUAAAGCUCUGUCAGCAGGGAAGAAAGCAAUGACGGUACCUGACCAAGAAGCCCCGGCUAACUACGUGCCAGCAGCCGCGGUAAUACGUAGGGGGCAAGCGUUAUCCGGAAUUACUGGGUGUAAAGGGGGCGUAGACGGCUGUGCAAGUCUGGAGUGAAAGGCGGGGGCCCAACCCCCGGACUGCUCUGGAAACUGUAUGGCUGGAGUGCAGGG
rnacentral:rRNA from 1 species